rnacentral:rRNA from 1 species
AUAGCGUAUAGUACCGUGAGGGAAAGGUGAAAAGAACCCCGGGAGGGGAGUGAAAUAGAACAUGUGCUUACAAGCGGUCAGAGCCCGCAAGGGUGAUGGCGUGCCUUUUGGAGAAUGAUCCUGCGAGUUACGUUCAGUGGCAAGGUUAAGUUUAACGGAGCCGAAGGGAAACCGAGUCUGAACAGGGCGAUUUUAGUCGCUGGGCGUAGACGCGAAACCUGGUGAUCUAAGCCUGUCCAGGGUGAAGCUGUGGUAAGACACAGUGGAGGCCCGAACUCACCGCCGUUGAAAAGUUGGGAGAUGAGGUAGGUUUAGGGGUGAAAAGCCAAUCGAACUAGGAGAUAGCUCGUUCUCUCCGAAAUGCAUUUAGGUGCAGCCUUGAGUGUUUAAUUAUGGGGGUAGAGCACUGAAUGGACUAGGGGGCGCAUUGCUUACUGAAUCCAAUCAAACUCCGAAUACCAUAAUUCAAGAGCUCAGGAGUGAGACUAUGGGAAUUAACUUCCAUUGUCAAAAGGGAAACAACCCAGACCACCAGCUAAGGUCCCUAAUCAUAACUAAGUGGGAAAGGAGGUGGAGAUUCAUAAACAACCAGGAGGUUGGCUUAGAAGCAGCCAUACCUUUAAAGAGUGCGUAAUAGCUCACUGGUCGAGAGUCUCUGCGCCGACAAUGUAACGGGGCUAAGUUAUGAACCGAAGCUGUGGAAUUGCGCAAGCAAUUGGUAGGAGAGCGUUCUGUAGGCCGUUGAAGGAGAAGCGUAAGCAACUCUGGAGGUAUCAGAAGUGAGAAUGCAGGAAUAAGUAGCGAGAAGGGAGGCGAGAAUCCUCCCCGCCGGAAGACCAAGGUUUUCAGGGUAAAGCUUGUCUUCCCUGAGUAAGCCGGGACCUAAGCCGAGGCUAUAGUGCGUAGGCGAAUGGAAAACAGAUUAAUAUUUCUGUGCCAGUCAUAUUUUGUGAUGGAGGGACGCAGAAGGGUAUGUACGCGGAAGAACGGUAGUUUCCGUAAAAGCAUGUAGAAUGACUUGAUAGGUAAAUCCGUCAAGUUAGAUUUGAGGUGUGAUAUAUAGUCGUAAGAUGAAUGUACAAAUCCCACGCUGCCGAGAAAAGCUUCUAACGUUAAGGUAUGACUGCCCGUACCCGAAACCGACACAGGUGGUCAGGAUGAGAAAUCUAAGGCGGACAGGCUAACUCUCGUUAAGGAACUCUGCAAAAUUGCCCCGUAACUUCGGGAGAAGGGGUGCCCCUGAGUGUGAGCAUACACGCGAUGUUAAGCGCUUGGGGGUCGCAGUGAAGAGGCUCAAGCAACUGUUUAACAAAAACACAGGUCUAUGCUAAGCUGUAAGGCGAUGUAUAUGGGCUGACACCUGCCCAGUGCCGGAAGGUUAAGAGGAGGAGUGAGAGCUCCGAAUUGAAGCCCCGGUGAACGGCGGCCGUAACUAUAACGGUCCUAAGGUAGCGAAAUUCCUUGUCGGGUAA